GACGAACGCUGGCGGCGUGCCUAAUACAUGCAAGUCGAGCGAGUCAAUAGGAGCUUGCUCCUGUUGAUUAGCGGCGGACGGGUGAGUAACACGUGGGCAACCUGCCUGUAAGAUCGGGAUAACUUCGGGAAACCGGAGCUAAUACCGGAUAAUCCUUUUCCACAUAUGUGGGAAAGCUGAAAGACGGUUUCGGCUGUCACUUACAGAUGGGCCCGCGGCGCAUUAGCUAGUUGGUGAGGUAACGGCUCACCAAGGCGACGAUGCGUAGCCGACCUGAGAGGGUGAUCGGCCACACUGGGACUGAGACACGGCCCAGACUCCUACGGGAGGCAGCAGUAGGGAAUCUCCCGCAAUGGACGAAAGUCUGACGGAGCAACGCCGCGUGAGCGAUGAAGGCCUUCGGGUCGUAAAGCUCUGUUGUUAGGGAAGAACAAGUAUCGGAGUAACUGCCGGUACCUUGACGGUACCUAACCAGAAAGCCACGGCUAACUACGUGCCAGCCGCCGCGGUAA
rnacentral:rRNA from 1 species